rnacentral:rRNA from 1 species
UACGGGGGGAGCAAGCGUUGUUCGGAUUUACUGGGCGUAAAGGGCGCGUAGGCGGUCAGCACAAGUCAGUUGUGAAAUCUCCGGGCUUAACUCGGAAAGGUCAACUGAUACUGUGCGACUAGAGUGCGGAAGGGGCAACUGGAAUUCUUGGUGUAGCGGUGAAAUGCGUAGAUAUCAAGAGGAACACCUGAGGUGAAGACGGGUUGCUGGUCUAACACUGACGCUGAGGCGCGAAAGCCAGGGGAGCAAACGGG